rnacentral:lncRNA from 1 species
GACAGUUCUGGAGCCUGGAAGUCCAGGAUCAAGAUGCCAGCAGAUUCAGUGUCUGGUUCGUAGACAGCCGUCUUCUCUGUGAGUCCUCGCAUGGUGGCAGGGGCAAAGGUGCUUACUGGGCACUAAUUCCGUUCAUGUGCCCAAGAGUGCUCCACCUUCAUGACCUAAUCUCCUCCAAAUACCAUCACAUUACAGAUUAGGAUGUAACGUAUGAAUUUUGGCGGGACACAAACAUUCAGUCCGUAGCAGUGGGCUUUCCACAUUGUAUAGCAUGUGAGGAGUACCAUCUUUCAUUACAAUAGGCGGAAACUUGUGGUGGUGGGUGUGGGUGAGGGUGGAAGGUAUUUCUUCAACUGAAAGUUGAAGGGUUGUGCUGAACUGGAUGUGAACCUUUUCACUCUUAAAGUCUUCUUUCAUAUCUCAGUGGGCCUCUUAUUUUUCAAUCAGACAAUUGCAUUUAAUAAAGCAUUUGCUUUCUCACUUUUUUUUUCCAUUCAGGACCUGGUCAGGCAUUCAUUAUUAUGAUACAAACAGUGUUACUGCAUGGAGGUGGUACAAUUCCAGUCCUAAGCAAAGAAACUUCUACAUAUUAAUUAACCUAUGCUCUGCUAGCACAUGUGAUGUUUUCAUGUUUAAAAUAGCAAUGUAUCCUUCUUAGAGAUUUAAAGGGAUACUGAGUAAGGUGGUUGGCAGAGGAAUUAGUUGAUGCGAACUGAAAUGGGUUGGUAUGGGCUGCUGUAGUGGAGGGAUAGGGUAAGAGGUGAUGAGAACAGAGAGAACCUCUGCCCCAUUUCCUAGGCAGAGGCUCUCAGAGGCAGCCAGUUUCCCAGAGACCCUGCAAAAGAGGAUGCAAGCUUUAGCAGUUUGCCAAAAGCCCGUGAGUUCAGCCUGUCACUGGAGCAUCAGGGCUGCGAGACUUCACAGGCAGCAUCUUGUGUGGGCCGACAACACGGUGACCAGAUGGGACCCUGCUCCCAUGGAGCCUGACACUGAGUAAGAUCCCAGAAUCAUAGCCCAUAUUAGGGAGAGAGCCUAGAAGUAGUACUUCCGCUAUUCCAGCAAGGAGGAGGAUUUAAAAUGAAAACUAAGUUCACUUACACCAAAUUUAGUUCUAAUUUUUGACAUCAGCGUGUAUGGACUGAGAUUCAC